rnacentral:rRNA from 1 species
GCAGUCGAGCGAACGGACGAGAAGCUUGCUUCUCUGAUGUUAGCGGCGGACGGGUGAGUAACACGUGGAUAACCUACCUAUAAGACUGGGAUAACUUCGGGAAACCGGAGCUAAUACCGGAUAAUAUUUUGAACCGCAUGGUUCAAAAGUGAAAGACGGUCUUGCUGUCACUUAUAGAUGGAUCCGCGCUGCAUUAGCUAGUUGGUAAGGUAACGGCUUACCAAGGCAACGAUGCAUAGCCGACCUGAGAGGGUGAUCGGCCACACUGGAACUGAGACACGGUCCAGACUCCUACGGGAGGCAGCAGUAGGGAAUCUUCCGCAAUGGGCGAAAGCCUGACGGAGCAACGCCGCGUGAGUGAUGAAGGUCUUCGGAUCGUAAAACUCUGUUAUUAGGGAAGAACAUAUGUGUAAGUAACUGUGCACAUCUUGACGGUACCUAAUCAGAAAGCCACGGCUAACUACGUGCCAGCAGCCGCGGUAAUACGUAGGUGGCAAGCGUUAUCCGGAAUUAUUGGGCGUAAAGCGCGCGUAGGCGGUUUUUUAAGUCUGAUGUGAAAGCCCACGGCUCAACCGUGGAGGGUCAUUGGAAACUGGAAAACUUGAGUGCAGAAGAGGAAAGUGGAAUUCCAUGUGUAGCGGUGAAAUGCGCAGAGAUAUGGAGGAACACCAGUGGCGAAGGCGACUUUCUGGUCUGUAACUGACGCUGAUGUGCGAAAGCGUGGGGAUCAAACAGGAUUAGAUACCCUGGUAGUCCACGCCGUAAACGAUGAGUGCUAAGUGUUAGGGGGUUUCCGCCCCUUAGUGCUGCAGCUAACGCAUUAAGCACUCCGCCUGGGGAGUACGACCGCAAGGUUGAAACUCAAAGGAAUUGACGGGGACCCGCACAAGCGGUGGAGCAUGUGGUUUAAUUCGAAGCAACGCGAAGAACCUUACCAAAUCUUGACAUCCUUUGACAACUCUAGAGAUAGAGCUUUCCCCUUCGGGGGACAAAGUGACAGGUGGUGCAUGGUUGUCGUCAGCUCGUGUCGUGAGAUGUUGGGUUAAGUCCCGCAACGAGCGCAACCCUUAAGCUUAGUUGCCAUCAUUAAGUUGGGCACUCUAAGUUGACUGCCGGUGACAAACCGGAGGAAGGUGGGGAUGACGUCAAAUCAUCAUGCCCCUUAUGAUUUGGGCUACACACGUGCUACAAUGGACAAUACAAAGGGCAGCGAAACCGCGAGGUCAAGCAAAUCCCAUAAAGUUGUUCUCAGUUCGGAUUGUAGUCUGCAACUCGACUACAUGAAGCUGGAAUCGCUAGUAAUCGUAGAUCAGCAUGCUACGGUGAAUACGUUCCCGGGUCUUGUACACACCGCCCGUCACACCACGAGAGUUUGUAACACCCGAAGCCGGUGGAGUAACCUUUUAGGAGCUAGCC